rnacentral:rRNA from 1 species
UACGGGGGGGGCAAGCGUUGUUCGGAAUUACUGGGCGUAAAGGGCGCGUAGGCGGCCUCCUAAGUCGGACGUGAAAUCCCUCGGCUUAACCGAGGAACUGCGUCCGAGACUGAAAGGCUUGAAUCCGGGAGAGGGAUGUGGAAUUCCAGGUGUAGCGGUGAAAUGCGUAGAUAUCUGGAGGAACACCGGUGGCGAAGGCGGCAUCCUGGACCGGCAUUGACGCUGAGGCGCGAAAGCUAGGGGAGCAAACGGG